UGCGUAGGCGGUCUCUUAAGUCAGAUGUGAAAGCCCGGGGCUUAACCCCGGAAGUGCAUUUGAAACUAAGGGACUUGAGUAUGGGAGAGGGAAGUGGAAUUCCUGGUGUAGGGGUGAAAUUCGUAGAUAUCAGGAGGAACACCGGUGGCGAAGGCGACUUCCUGGACCAAUGCUGACGCUGAGGCGCGAAGGCGUGGGGAGCAAACAGGAUUAGAUACCCUGGUAGUCC
rnacentral:rRNA from 1 species